UUUAACUUUUUUCUACGAGAAUUAUCCAUAGAGCAUAUUUUAUGAAAGUCUUCAGUUUACAGUGCAUAUAAAGUGUGGGCGACAGAUUGCGCAUGGAGCGGCGCAUAAGCGAAGCGAGCUGCCAGCACCAAAAUCGCUAGUAGCUUCUCGGAAAGCAUCGCUGCCGCGUCACCUCAGCCGCCAUUUUCCUUUCCCCCGUUUCCCGCGCAAAGUAACGAACUUAUAGCAACCAUAAACUUGAAUGCAGAUACGAAAAUAAAAAAUAUGGGCGAUGAAAAUUAUUCUGUAUUAUUCUGUUAUGGGGAAUAAACAAAAAAAUAAGCAAUAAUGGAUGUUUUGACUAUGGAGCACUACUUUGGUAUAAGGUGGAAAUGAACAAGUGUCAGUAACUAUAUUAAAUAUUUGUUGUGAGUAGGUAAUUGUCAACCCUUUUGCUCAUAUAGUAUUAUACUUAGUGUAAUAAAACAUUGAAGUGAUGUGUAAAGUUCUGGUGCUUACUUAUUCGCAUCGGAGUGCUCCUCGCAGUCACUAACGCCUCCUCUGGGAAGAGAGGCAGAGCUACGAGUACUUAGCAUUCGGAGUACCAGGAGGCUAAUUAAGUGUGGCCAGGCGUAGCUGCAGGCGCAAAAAAUAUGCCAACGAAAUAUGUGCCAGAACUCCGAAUACGCAAAUACAAUGCCUGCCAAGAAUGUAAUCUCGAAAUGGCUGCGAGCGAAACAAGGAAAACAUAAACAGCUACCAUGGUCCUAGCUAGGAAAUAAUUAUUGAAAAAAUAUGAAUGCCAGCGAUCUGGAUAUACUAGCGGCAAGAGGCCAACUGGAGAUACUAAAAGGACCAGAGUAUGAUUUCGGAACAACUACCUACAACGCAGUCCUCGACUUUAAUGCCACCUUCGAAAACGCCACUAGCUUGAACUCUACGAGCGGAGAUACAUGGGAUGACUAUAUCAAGCUGCUCCAAGAUCGAGCGCUACUCGUCAGCUUCUUGAUCUUGUUCUCCAUGACGACGGUGUUCGGCAACAUGCUGGUCAUUCUAGCUGUCGUGCGGGAACGGUACCUACACACCUCCACCAACUACUUUGUGACGUCCCUUGCAGUCGCGGAUUGCCUCGUCGGUUUAGUAGUAAUGCCAUUUUCGGCAAUGUACGAAGUGUUAGAGCAUACCUGGUUUUUUGGAGUGGAUUGGUGUGACGUUUGGCGGUCACUAGACGUAUUAUUUAGCACUGCUUCCAUACUUAACUUGUGCGUGAUCUCUCUUGACCGCUACUGGGCUAUUACUGACCCCAUAACAUAUCCAAUGAAAAUGAGCGGACGGAAAGCCGCUUUCCUGAUUGCGGCCGUAUGGGUAUGCUCCGGGGCUAUAUCGUUUCCCGCUAUUGCGUGGUGGCGAGCCGUGCGAUUGGAGGAAGUGCCGGAUUAUAAGUGUCCGUUUACGGAAAACUUAGGAUACAUUAUAUUCUCAUCGACAAUAUCGUUUUAUUUGCCACUGUUUGUGAUGGUGUUCACUUAUUAUCGCAUUUAUCGCGCGGCGACUAUUCAGACGCGAUCGUUGAAAAUCGGCACUAAGUCGAUAAUGCGCCCGAGUGGCGAGUUAGAGUUGACGUUAAGAAUCCACCGUGGCGGCACGGUGCGUCAGCGCAGCGACGCCUGCCACGGCGUAUGCACGCCGGAGGAAGCGGACCAGGAGCCGCUCACGGCGCUGCAAAACAACGGCCUGUCUCGUUCUUCCACGCGCCUCACCAACGUCGCCACUCAUGGCAAACAUUUGCCAAAAAACUUUUCUUUGUCGCGUAAACUGGCCAAAUUCGCGAAAGAGAAGAAAGCAGCAAAAACUUUGGGAAUAGUGAUGGGAGUAUUUAUAGUGUGCUGGCUGCCAUUUUUCGUGGUGAACCUGCUGUCGGGGAUUUGCUCGGCGUGCAUCGCGCACGAGGAGGUGGUCAACAUGAUUGUGACGUGGCUGGGCUGGGUCAACUCCUCAAUGAACCCGGUCAUCUACGCCUGUUGGAGCAGAGAUUUUCGUAGAGCUUUCCUAAGGAUCUUAUGCGUGUGUUGCCCGCGCAAGCUACGACGGAAGUACCAGCCCCAACUGCGCUCCAAACAGUCACAGUUCCGCUCGACUCGUCGCUAUUACUCAUCGAGCGAACUAACCGGGAUUCAGCAAAUUAGACAAAACUCCUGCGAACAAACUUACAUAUAGCGACUCGGCUUUACUCUAUACAAUCUACAUUUCUCCUUCAGAUUUCCAAGUGCCUUGUUGAGAUUUUUUCUAUUCUUUGUCUAACUUUGCUUAAAUUGGAUGUCUAUAAAAGAAUCAUUGAAGACAAACAAAUAAACUUUACUCAGUAAAUGAGUUUUCUGAGAAAAAACUUCAUCGUAACAGAUGUUGUAGAGUAUCCAGUGUCAACAAUGAUGUACUCGUCGGUGUCGCAGCACGAGAUGUGCCGCUUGUGACGGCAAGCGCGCGCGGGCACGUGCCGGCCGCCGCGCGCGCGCUGCUCCUGAUGCCGGGACCCGUUGGAGGCGCGCCCGCGCUCCAACAGACGCCACUCGAGGCACUACCCCGACUCAUUUCGCAUGAGGACUUUGGAACAUUCCUUCGAUAAUCCCAUACCGUGCGUGGAUCGCCAGGUGUGCCCGGACACUGUGCCCUACUGUCCGGAUUCUGAGUCCAGUGAAGUGAGCCUGGAGAGUGACAGUCGACAUCAGUCGUUUAAACGAAACGCGGCUAAGAAAGUCACCUACCAAACCAAAGCAGAAGUGAUCUCAAGUUAAAAAUAUAGUAUCGUGAUUUGAUUGAAUGUGAAUCCUCUAAAUGUGCUUACGCUUUAUUUAAAAGGUGAUGGAUUGUAUAUUUAUUGUAAAUAUGUCGAUUAUAAAAUACAGCAAGACCAGAUUUUAUCAAUUAGUUACCAUCUGCCACUUUUUAAAUGACGCUAUAGUGUCAAAGAUAACUUAGUUGUCUAGUAAUAGAUGAGAAUAAUAAUUCUAUGGUUGUAUAACUUUCUAGUCAUUCUAAGAUCGAAUCUUUUGUUCUUGUCGUAAACAUCAACUUUGCUUUAACAAUUGUAUUAAAUCAGACGACGUUUGAAACAGAUCAAUAAGAAAUCUACUUAUAUUGUUUCCGUUAAACUCAACCAAACCUAAAUUCUUAUGGUAUUGUAGUGGUUCACAAUAAGAACAGACCGACCCAUGUUCAUUCGGUAAUAUGAAUUUUCAAUCAGGAGCUGUGAUUUACUGAUUAGCUAUGUAUAUAACACUUCGUGUACAUAUUGUAGGUACUUAAUAUGUUACUGUAUGCGUACCUGUACGACUUUUUGUAAUAUUAACCAUAACCAUCGAGUUACCCAUCAGUUGAAACCGAAAUCAAAGAUUCAACCAGCCGGUACAGUAGGUACUGUCUUGUAUAAUGAAAAUCGGGAAGUAAUACGCUUUCAUACAACUGUAGGUACCUACCUAAUGUAAAUAAUCAUAAAUAAAUACAUUCCAAAUACUUUAUUAGCAAUACGUCAAUUAUUGGAUGUUUGUUUACUUAAUAAUUGUUGUUAACCUCGAAGGUUAUGCAUAUUUAUAUAACGCAUAUAUUGUAAUUAAACAUAAUGGAGGUCUAAUUAAUAUGUUUUAAUAAAUAUGAAAUGUACUUUAUGGUUAUUUAUGGAUCAUAUAUGAAGAGACACAAUUCCUUACUUAGUAAUAAAACUUGAUGUAUUUUAAUUUGUUUGUAAUAACUAAUAAGUAUAAAUCGAAAGUCAUAUACCUAUGUCAUAUAAUUUACCCAAAUAGUAGCAUUAAUGACCUGAAUUUCAAGUUCGUAAUAUUCUUUUGCUCAAAUUAUUUCAUAUUUGAAGCACACUGAAAUAAAGCAAGGAUUUCUUUGCUAAGCGGUCUGAGGGCCUACCGCGAACCCCGUUCGACGCGUUGCCUCCCUAUCAAACUUACGUACGAAUUUACAAGUGGGACUGAGAAACAACACGUCGAACGUGGUUCGCGGUAGGCCCUAUGCGCCAGGUCUGCGCGCACUCCGAGCUGGUUUGUUAUUCUCAUUGGCAUUUAAUCGCGAGCGAGCCUUCGCUUGCAGCAAUGUGUAAAUUGAGAGUGUGCCCAUAACUAACUAGGUACUACAAAUCUCGAUUUUAUUUAUUUUUUUCAAAUGAAUUUAUUUAUUUUGUUACAACAUACACAGUUGUCAUGGUGCUUGUCAUUGAGGUAUGCGUGUAUGCUCUACCACAAUUUGGUAGAAGGUUCGGAAACAUUGAGUUAAUAUUACUAAAGGGAAGCCAUGCCGAACAAUGAAAUUGUCGCGAUCACAAUCACAAGGUGAAAAGUAUUUUUUUUUUAUACAGAUGUACACCAAACUCACGAGACCAGGCGCCAUAAAUUCAUGGAGUAAAGAGAUUCACACUCCGCUUCUAUGGUUUGAUGUCAAUGAAACACCACCAAAAUCAAGUCAUGGCGCAAAACAAUAGUGCUCCAUACCGGUUCGAUACGUUAGUAAUAAUAGUUCAAUGUUUAGAAGAUGUUAAUCAAUUCUACUUCCCAUGAGAUUCAAAUGUUUCUAAUAUACCUGCUAUCUGUUGUGCCCAAGAAAUUUCAAUUUCCGAAAAUAAAUGUGGCGAGUGUAAUAACGCCCCAUAUAAAAACGCGCGGCCUGUGAUAACACAGACAGGCUGCACGGCUGCCAAAAAGUAUGGAAAGAUUAAUGAAAAAUAAGAUUUCGUUAUUUACACCGUAAAAAUAUGUUUAUGUAAUAUAAAUAUUAUAAUGUAAUAAAAGUGUUUAAUAUACCUACAUUUGGCAAUAAAAAAUAUGUAAGAGUUUACGUUUUUAAACUCGCAUAUCUUUACAGAAUGUUACACAAAGCAUUCAUUACGUGUUGUUGGAUGUGUUAAAAUAUUUUCAAUAUACGAGUCCAGUCGAACACUCGCUUGUACCUAGUAAACGAUAGCGAUUAUGGGAUGGGCCCUGUGCUCACAGUAGCGCGACACCGAAAUCCGCUUUGCCCACAGUCCCAGCGUGGAUCAACAAACUGUAUCAAAAUAUUCUAACACUAAAUGCCACUCUAUUCUUACUAAAAGGAUUACAAAAACAGAAAGCGCUUUUAUAUUUACCCGCAGUUGUCCUUUUUUAAGCGGUGCAGAAGAAAUAUACGUAUUUAAAUAUUUUUUGUUGAAAUAUUUUUACCGAAUAUUCUGCUUAGCCUAGACCGCUGCUACGAGUAUUUAUGCAUUUGUAUAGUUUCGACUUUCACAUACACAAAAACUAAUGGGCUAUGUACAGCUGAUUCAGUCCUUCUUUCCCUAGUUUGAAAACUACCGUUAGGACUCAUUUAGACGAUGCGAGAACUCGCAUGCGAGGUUUAUCUUCAUCACAUUGCAGAGUUUGAUCGGUCGGUUGAAUUGGCCGUAAACCUACAGUCCGCAAUGUAACUAAAAUCACAUGCGAGUGCGCGCGCCGUCUAAAUCAACCCUAAAUCCUACCUUUUUAAUUCCAUUGUGAUAAAAUUUUUUGGAUAGGUAUAGCUAGAAACUGAAAAUAAUCAUAAAUUAUUUAACAGAUUUGAAAGAGGCUCGGAAUGGCUAAUUAUCACAAACUCUGCAUUAGCAACAACCCUGAAUCCUAUUAUGAAAUUAUUCAUGGAUUAGCAGAAUGAAGUUUCUCUUCCAAGAAAUUUAGAAAUUCCAUUUGAUUAUUUCCGAAUCGAGUCCCUGAACUGUACGAGUACCACAUUUCUACUUGGCCUUCAUAAUGUGAUUUCUUAUUGCUAAGCAAAUACCUAAUGAUAAUUUCGUUCUAUAAAUGCAAGAUUCCCGUAACGCAACGAAUGCAUUGAAAUUCUGGUAAAUAUAACUUAUCAAUACCGAUUCAAACAAAAUCUGCUGAAGCACAUGUUUCCAGUCGUGACUACUUGUAUUACGUAUUUACCUACUUUAUUAGCAACAAGAUUAUUAUUCUUACGUACUCAUUGUGCUACAUGUAUCAAAGUAUCGUAAAUGUACCUAUACCUACCGUAGUAGUUCUCGAUACUCGAUAGAUCAUUAUUAUGCUAGUGUGGAUAAAAUGUGUACAUUUCUAGAAAAAAACGGGUUGUCGUAUAAAUUUAUAUAAAAUAUUUUUUUCA